rnacentral:rRNA from 1 species
AGAGUUUGAUCCUGGCUCAGGAUGAACGCUGGCGGCGUGGAUAAGGCAUGCAAGUCGAACGCCCUCUCACUUGGUUUUGUAUAUUUUAUAUAUUGACCCAAGCGAGAGGGAGUGGCGAACGAGGUAGUAACACGUAGGAACGAACCCAAAAGUCAGGAAUAACUCCGAGAAAUCGGGGCUAAUACUUGAUGGUCUCAAUUAUCUUUUGAUAAUUGAGUAAAGCUUUUGCGCUUUUGGAUCGGCCUGCGGAGCAUCAGCUUGUUGGUAGGGUAAUGGCCUACCAAGGCUAUGACGCUUAGGGGAGGUGAGAGCCUGACCCCCACCGAUGGAACUGAGAUACGGUCCAUACACCUACGGGUGGCCGCAGUCGAGAAUCUUCCGCAAUGGGCGAAAGCCUGACGGAGCGACGUCGCGUGGUCGAUGAAGUCCUUAGGGACGUAAAGACCUUUUAUAGGGGAAGAAGCUCUUUUUAGAGUGUGACGGUACCCUAUGAAUAAGGGGUUGCUAAACUCGUGCCAGCAGCAGCGGUAAUACGAGUGCCCCAAGCGUUAUCCGGAAUUACUGGGCGUAAAGGGUGCGUAGGCGGUCUUGUUUUUUACUGCUUUCAAGGUGAAAUUUUUUUGCUUUGAAAGCAGUAAGAAAUUUACUAGUCUCCCGUUAAAUCUUUCGGCUUAACCGAAAAACUGCGGGGGAAACGGCAAGACUAGAGAGUGCGAGAGGUCUGUGGAACUCAUGGUGUAGGGGUGAAAUCCGUUGAUAUCAUGGGGAACACCAAAAGCGAAGGCAACAGACUGGCGCAUUUCUGACGCUGAGGCACGAAAGCGUGGGUAGCGAACGGGAUUAGAUAGAUCCCGCCACCGCAUUAUAAUAGUGGCGAACGGUGUCCCUCUCAAUGGCGACGUUGAGAUGAGCAUCUAGCUGUAUCGGGGAAACCCUGAAGUUAAAUAUAGAUUAACUACCAACUUACUUCAGACAAUCCCGAGGGAAGCCGAAGUUUUUUUAAAUAAAGACGAUGUGGCCCCGUAGAGACUAUGAGGUUGAGAUGACAGUAGGUGUGGCGAUGUUAUAUAAUUAAAAAACUAUGCAUCAUCAAUACACACCUUUGUCUAAUGAAAUAAAAGAAAU